rnacentral:rRNA from 1 species
GACGAACGCUGGCGGCGUGCUUAACACAUGCGAGUCGAACGGAAAGGCCCUGCUUUUGUGGGGUGCUCGAGUGGCGAACGGGUGAGUAACACGUGAGUAACCUGCCCUUGACUUUGGGAUAACUUCAGGAAACUGGGGCUAAUACCGGAUAGGAGCUCCUGCUGCAUGGUGGGGGUUGGAAAGUUUCGGCGGUUGGGGAUGGACUCGCGGCUUAUCAGCUUGUUGGUGGGGUAGUGGCUUACCAAGGCUUUGACGGGUAGCCGGCCUGAGAGGGUGACCGGCCACAUUGGGACUGAGAUACGGCCCAGACUCCUACGGGAGGCAGCAGUGGGGAAUAUUGCACAAUGGGCGGAAGCCUGAUGCAGCAACGCCGCGUGCGGGAUGACGGCCUUCGGGUUGUAGACCGCUUUCGCCUGUGACGAAGCGUGAGUGACGGUAAUGGGUAAAGAAGCACCGGCUAACUACGUG